rnacentral:rRNA from 1 species
GACGAACGCUGGCGGCGUGCUUAACACAUGCAAGUCGAACGGUAAGGCCCCUUCGGGGGUCCACGAGUGGCGAACGGGUGAGUAACACGUGAGCAACCUGCCCUUGACUCUGGAAUAACAGUUGGAAACAGCUGCUAAUACUGGAUACUCAUCGUCUCCUUCCUGGGGGGUGGUGGAAAGCUCCGGCGGUCAGGGAUGGGCUCGCGGCCUAUCAGCUUGUUGGUGAGGUAAUGGCUCACCAAGGCUUCGACGGGUAGCCGGCCUGAGAGGGCGACCGGCCACACUGGGACUGAGAUACGGCCCAGACUCCUACGGGAGGCAGCAGUGGGGAAUAUUGCACAAUGGGCGCAAGCCUGAUGCAGCAACGCCGCGUGCGGGAUGACGGCCUUCGGGUUGUAAACCGCUUUCAGUAGGGACGAAGGGUGACUGACGGUACCUACAGAAGAAGGACCGGCUAACUACGUG